rnacentral:tRNA from 2 species
AGCCCGGUGGUGUAGCGGUCAAGCAUGGCGGGCUUUGGCCCCGCCGACAGGAGUUCGAAUCUCCUCCGGGCUACCA